UCCCGCAGCUUCUCGCGGCUUCGCAAGCCCCUUCCCGUGAUGCCCCGCGCCUGGCUGUCGCGGUUGCCGGGCAACGCGCGGUCCCUGUCGCGGGCCUCGCUGGGACCCCCUAGGAGAUGAGGCCGCGAGGUCUCCCGCCGCUCCUGGUGGUGCUCCUGGGCUGCUGGGCCUCCGUGAGCGCCCAGACCGAGGCCACCCCGGCGGUGACGACAGAGGGCCUCAACUCCACCGAGGCAGCCCUGGCCACUUUCGGAACUUCCCCGUCGACCAGGCCCCCCGGGACUCCCAGGGCUCCAGGGCCCUCCUCGGGCCCCAGGCCUACCCCGGUCACGGACGUUGCUGCUCUGUGUGUCUGUGACUUAUCCCCAGCACAGUGUGACGUCAACUGCUGCUGUGAUCCCGACUGCAGCUCCAUGGAUUUCAGUGUCUUUUCUGCCUGCUCAGUUCCAGUUGUCACGGGCGACAGCCAGUUUUGUAGUCAAAAAGCGGUCAUCUAUUCAUUGAAUUUUACAGCAAACCCACCUCAAAGAGUAUUUAAACUUGUUGACCAGAUUAAUCCAUCUGUGUUCUGCAUUCAUAUUACAAACUAUAAACCUGCAUUAUCCUUUAUUAAUCCGGAAGUACCUGAUGAAAACAAUUUUGAUACACUGAUGAAAACAUCUGAUGGUUUUACAUUGAAUGCUGAAUCAUAUAUUUCCUUCACAACCAAACUGGAUAUUCCUACUGCUGCUAAAUAUGAGUAUGGGGUUCCUCUGCAGACUUCAGAUUCGUUUCUGAGAUUUCCUUUGUCCCUAACAUCAUCUCUGUGCACUGAUGAUAACCCUGCAGCGUUUCUGGUGAACCAGGCUGUUAAGUGCACCAGAAAAAUAAAUUUAGAACAGUGUGAAGAAAUUGAAGCCCUCAGCAUGGCUUUUUACAGCAGCCCGGAAAUUCUGAGGGUACCUGAUUCAAGAACAAAGGUCCCUAUCACUGUUCAGUCCAUCAUCAUUCAGUCUCUAAAUAAAACGCUCACCCGACGGGAAGACACUGAUGUGCUGCAGCCGACUCUCAUCAACGCUGGACACUUUAGCCUUUGCAUGAAUGUUGUUCUUGAGGUAAAGUACAGCCUCACAUACACAGAUGCGGGUGAAGUCACCAAAGCUGAUCUCUCAUUCCUUCUGGGGACAGUUAGCAGCGUAGUGGUCCCACUGCAGCAAAAGUUUGAAAUUCAUUUUCUUCAGGAAAAUACCAAGCCAGUCCCUCUCAGUGGAAACCCUGGUUAUGUCGUGGGGCUCCCAUUAGCUGCUGGAUUCCAGCCUCAUAAGGGAUCUGGGAUUAUUCAGACCACAAAUAGAUACGGACAGCUUACUAUUCUUCAUAGCACAACUGAGCAAGACUGCUUAGCACUGGAGGGGGUCCGGACCCCAGUAUUAUUUGGUUACACUAUGCAAUCUGGCUGUAAACUAAGACUGACUGGAGCUCUCCCGUGUCAGCUCGUAGCACAGAAAGUGAAGAGCCUGCUGUGGGGCCAGGGCUUCCCAGAUUACGUGGCCCCUUUUGGAAAUUCCCAGGCCCAGGACAUGCUGGACUGGGUGCCCAUCCACUUCAUCACCCAGUCAUUCAACAGGAAGCAUUUUGUUUUGCAGGAUUCCUGCCAGCUGCCAGGGGCUUUGGUUAUAGAAGUGAAGUGGACUAAAUACGGAUCCUUGCUGAAUCCACAGGCCAAAAUAGUCAAUGUAACUGCAAAUCUAAUUUCAUCCUCCUUUCCUGAGGCCAACUCAGGAAAUGAAAGGACGAUUCUUAUUUCCACUGCGGUUACUUUUGUGGAUGUGUCUGCACCUGCAGAGGCAGGCUUCAGAGCUCCGCCAGCCAUCAAUGCCAGGCUGCCCUUUAACUUCUUCUUCCCGUUUGUUUGACACAAACACUGGAAUUUACUUUGAGCCUCGCCAGGGAUGUGACAAUCAUUCAGUGAGCCCCAGGCACAGGACCACAGAGAUGAAUGAAAGCUACGCUGUUUGUGGCAUUCAGUCAGCUGAGGAGACUGCUACAAUCAGAUAGGCUCCACUGAGCAGCAGUGACAGCAGUGAGAAGACAAAGCCUGGGAGUGCAGGAGACGUACCAUUGAUGAUCCGGGCCACCCGCCACAGCCGGAGCAGAAUCAGCAGGCCCAGAGCCUCAAACUCGUGCUCCUGGAACAGGAGGACAAUGUCGAGGACGAAUGAGACCACCACCACGACGGCAUCCAGGAUCUCAAACUUGUGGUGAAAGAACUCCAGGCGGAAGACAAAUAAUUUAAAGAUAAUCUCCAUCAUAAAAAAGACUAAGAUGGUGAUGCUCAUGUAGUGGAAUACCUGAAGGGGACAAGGAACCACAGUCAGGGGAGAUUGGGCCUCUGGGAGGUCAAGCUGCCCUCGCAUGCACCUGCCUGGUCACCAGCAAGAGAAUUCAUCUGUUGGACAAAUCCAGAUGCCCAGUGCUGGAAACACAGCUGUGAACACCACAGAUGAGGCACCUGCUCUCUAAAGGGCAAUUAGGCAAUGUCAGAAUUAAAGCAUCCUCUAGACCCUUUGGACAAGCAAUUCCAUGGCUAAGAACUUACCCUACAGCUGAGCUCCUGUGCACAGGGACUAAGGAUAUUUACUGCAGCACUGUUUGCAGAACAAAUACUUUCUGCAUUGUUUGUAAGACAACAGAAAUGUCCAUUAGACAGAAAUGUCCAUUAGAAGUUACUCUUGAAAUGAAUGGUGGCACCUCCAUAUGGGGCCCUAAGGACACAGUUGUUAAAAAGAUUAAGCUGGGUGUGGUGGCUCGAGCUGAUAGUCCCAGUUACUUAGGAGGCUAGGUGGGGCCUCCUGCCUAGAGCCCAGUUUGAGGCCAGUCUGGGCAACAUAGCAAGACCCCAUCUCUAAAAUAACUGAAUGAAUGAAUGAAUGGAGGCAGAUCCAUAUGUUCCAAUUAGGAGUGAUCACCAAGGUAGGUGGAAAGUGAAAAGGGUUCCGAGAUCCUGAUCCAGUCCUGGCUGGGCACAGUGGCUCAUGCCUGUUAUCCCAGCACUUUGGGAGGCCAAGGUGGGCAGAUCACCUGAGGUCUGGAGUUUGAGACCACCUUGGUCAACAUGGUGAAAACGUGUCUCUACUAAAAAAAUACAAAAAGUUAGUCAGGCAUGGUGGUGCAUGCCUGUAGUCCCAGCUAUUUGGGAGGCUGAGGCAGGAGAAUUGCUUGAACCUGGAGGAGGUUGCAGUGAGCUGAGAUUGCACCACUGCACUCCAGCCUAGGUGACAAGUGAGACUCUGUCUCUAAAAAUAAAAAUAAAAAAUAAAAUAAAAUAACCAGUCCUCACACCAAGAUAACCAUUUCCAGAUCUGCGGCAGGGGAGGUACAAUGUGGGCAAGGACGUCUUGUGCCAGAAAGCAAGGAAGUCUUCAAAGACAUUGCAGAGUCAUGUCAACAGGACCCAGCAGUCAGCUUGAAGAGGCUCACAGUGACAACAUUUGGAACAAUCUGAACAUUGAAAAGAAUGACUAAGAUUGAUUGUAACACAGUGAAUAAAAAAAAUUCACAGUGCGGCACAUACACCCAUGCACACACACACACACGUGGGAAAACAGGGAAGUGCUUUUUUAUAGAAGAGUACCUACUACUAAAUGUAGAAGGAAAGACAGAAAAUCACCAUUUUGCAUUCCCUAGUGUAGUCACUGACUCAGGCAAGGAUCACCAACAGAUGCCAACUGGGGAAGAGGAUAUUUGCGUGCUACCAAAGCAGUACCGGGCAGAUCAUUUACCACUGCAGUGGGAAAAAUGCCCCUGGCCAGUGGAGCAGUCCAGCAUUUACUACCUACAUCAAGUGACCCAACUGAGUGGGACCCCUGGCGUGGUGUGCCUCCUGAAAAUGCCACAUCCAGAACAUUGCCAGCCAAUGAGGACUCCCUGCUGAUCAAGCCCUGGACCUAACCGUGCGUGGUGUGCGGGAAAUAAAGAAACAAGGCAGGAGACCUCAAAAUCAUCAGACAAAUCCAGAACAUGGGACAUUCUACUGGCUGGGCUCUUCCAAGAGUCAUUGUCAUGAAGGAAAAAGAAAAGCAGGAGGAUUUCUCUAGAUUAAGUUAAGCCCAGGGAGGCCGGGUGUGGUGGCUCACGCCUGUAAUCCCAGCACUUUGGGAGGCCAAGACAGGAGGAUUGCUUGAGCCUGGGAGUUCAAGACCAGCCUGGGCAACACAAGGAAAC